GACGUAGGUGGCGAACGUUAUCCGGAAUUAUUGGGCGUAAAGGGUGCGUAGAUGGCCUGAUAAGUUAGCAGUGGGAAAUCGAGGCUCAACCUCGUGGAAGCUGGUAAUACUGUCAGGCUCGAGUGCAGGAGAGGUUAACGGAACUCCAUGUGGAGCGGUAAAAUGUGUAGAUAUAUGGAAGAACACCAAUAACGGCCAAGGCAGUUAACUAUUCUGUUACUGACAUUGAGGCACGAAAGCGUGGGGAGCAAAACGG
rnacentral:rRNA from 1 species